AACUUUCAACAACGGAUCUCUUGGUUCUGGCAUCGAUGAAGAACGCAGCGAAUUGCGAUAAGUAAUGGGAAUUGCAGAGCUCAGUGAGUCAUCGAAUCUUUGAACGCACAUUGCACCCGGCGGCAUUCCGCCGGGUAUGCCUGUCCGAGCGUCGUUU
rnacentral:rRNA from 1 species